rnacentral:pre_miRNA from 1 species
AUACUACUCCCUUCGUUCCGAAUUACUUGUCGCGGGUAUGGAUGUAUCUAGAUGUAUUUUAGUUCUAGAUACAUUCAUUUCUGCGACGAGUAAUUUGAAAUGGAGGGAGUAGUAG